UACGGGGGGGGGCAAGCGUUGUUCGGAAUUACUGGGCGUAAAGGGCUUGUAGGUGGCCAACUAAGUCAGACGUGAAAUCCCUCGGCUUAACCGGGGAACUGCGUCUGAUACUGGAUGGCUCGAGUGUGGGAGAGGGAUGCGGAAUUCCAGGUGUAGCGGUGAAAUGCGCAGAUAUCAGGAGGAACACCGGUGGCGAAGGCGGGUCUCUGGGCCGAUACUGACGCUGAGGAGCGAAAGCGUGGGGAGCGAACAGG
rnacentral:rRNA from 1 species